rnacentral:rRNA from 1 species
GACGUAGGGCGCGAGCGUUGUCCGGAUUUAUUGGGCGUAAAGAGCUCGUAGGCGGCUUGUCGCGUCGACUGUGAAAACCCGAGGCUCAACUUCGGGCUUGCAGUCGAUACGGGCAAGCUAGAGUUCGGUAGGGGAGACUGGAAUUCCUGGUGUAGCGGUGAAAUGCGCAGAUAUCAGGAGGAACACCGAUGGCGAAGGCAGGUCUCUGGGCCGAUACUGACGCUGAGGAGCGAAAGCGUGGGGAGCGAACAGG